UUUUUUUUUUCUUUUUUUUUUUUUGAGACAGAGUCUUACUCUGUCUCGCCCAGGCUGGAGUGCAGUGGCAGGAUCUCAGCUCGCUACAGCCUACACCUCCCAGGUUCAAGUGAUUCUCCUGUCUCAGUCUUCCAAGUAGCUGGGACUACAGGGGUGUGCCAUCACACCCGGCUAAUUUUGUAUUUUUAGUAGAGACGAGGUUUCACCAUGUUGGCCAGGCUGGUUUGGAACUCUCAAACUCCUGACCUCAGGUGAUCCACCCAGCUUGCCUUCCCAAAGUGCUGGGAUUACAGCAUGAGCCGCCAUGCCUGGCCUAAUUCACCUAUUUGAUCCACCCAGCUCGGCCUCUCAAAGUGCUGCGAUUACAGGUGUGAGCCACCGUGCCUGGCCUAAUUCCACUGUUUCUAAUAUUCAUCAUGCUAUUUAACAAAUCACUAGCUUCACCAAUACAAAACACAUUUUUACAUUCAAAAUACCAGCUAGCAUGAUGUUAUAGAGGUAUUGACAGUAGAAGAAUUUAUUAGCAGUAAUCUCUGUGUAUGGUCCCUUUCUGAUGUAAUGCUGGCUUGACUUCCUUUCCCACGUGCUGGAACAGGACUGUGUCAUUGACCCACCUUCAACAUGUGGAGCUGGUGAAGCAACAAUAUGGAAGGAAGGUGGGUCCCUGAGUGACUAGUGGUGCAAAGUUGCAUGCCAGUUUAGUGGCUAGACUGUUACAUGUCAGAGAAAAAUAAACCUCUAUCUUAUUUAAGCUACUAUAUUUUAGGGUCUUGUUUGUUUGUUUGUUUUGAGAUGGAGUCUCAUACUGUCACCCAGGCUGGAGUGCAGUGGCUCAAUCUCAGGUCACUGCAACCUCCACCUCCUUGGUUCAAGUGAUUCUCCCGCCUCAGCCUCCUGAGUAGCUGGGACUACAGGUGCGCACAACCAUGCCUAAGUAAUUUUUUGUAUUUUUAGUAGAGAUGGGGGUGUCAUCAUGUUGGCCAGGCUGGUCUUGAACUCCUGACCUCAAGUGACCCACCCACCUCGACUUCCCAAAGAGCUGGGAUUAUAGGUGUGAGCCACUGCAUCCAGCUAGGAUCCUUUUUUUAAAAAUGACAUCUUAGCCUUUACUCAACAAACCUUUACUCUGCAUCUUGAUCCCAUCAUCUUUCAUUUCCUCUACUGUGUGUUCAACACUGCCCUCUGUACUGGCUCCUUCUCUGCCAUUCAUGAGCAUGAUCAAGUCUUUUCUGUGUUGCAUGCUUUGCCACAUUUUCCCCUCUCC
rnacentral:lncRNA from 1 species